rnacentral:rRNA from 1 species
GAUGAACGCUGGCGGCGUGCCUAACACAUGCAAGUCGAACGAACAGACCAGGAGCUUGCUCCUCUCAUGUUAGCGGCGGAGGUGUGAGUAACACGUGUAUAACCUACCUAUAAUACUGGGAUAACUUCGGGAAACCGGAUCUUAUACCGUAUAACCUGUUGCACCGCAUGGUUGAACAGUGAAAUACGGUCUUUCGGUCACUUAUAGAUGCAUCCGCGCCGCAUUAUCUAGUUGUUACGGUAACGGCCUACCAAGGCAACGAUGCGUAGCCGACGUGAGAGGGGGAUCGGCCACCCGGGAAGUGAGACGCGGUCAAUACGCCUACGGGAGGCAGCAGAAGGGAAUCGGCCGCAAUGGGCGAAAGCCUGACGCAGCAACGGGGCGUGAGUGAAGAAGGUCUUCGGAGCGUAAAACUCGGUUAUGAGGGAAGAACAACUGUGUAAGUAGAUGUGGACGGCUUGACGGUACCUAAUCAGAAAGCAACGGCUAACUACGUG